rnacentral:rRNA from 1 species
AGCGAACGCUGGCGGCAGGCUUAACACAUGCAAGUCGAACGGUCCUUCGGGAUAGUGGCGAACGGGUGAGUAACACGUGGGAACGUACCCUUAGGUUCGGAACAACACAGGGAAACUUGUGCUAAUACCGGAUAAGCCCUUCGGGGGAAAGAUUUAUCGCCUUUGGAGCGGCCCGCGUCUGAUUAGCUUGUUGGUGAGGUAAUGGCUCACCAAGGCUACGAUCAGUAGCUGGUCUGAGAGGAUGGCCAGCCACACUGGGACUGAGACACGGCCCAGACUCCUACGGGAGGCAGCAGUGGGGAAUCUUGCGCAAUGGGCGAGAGCCUGACGCAGCCAUGCCGCGUGGAUGAUGAAGGUCUUAGGAUUGUAAAAUCCUUCCACCGGGGACGAUAAUGACGGUACCCGGAGAAGAAGCCCCGGCUAACUUCGUGCCAGCCGCCGCCGUAA